rnacentral:rRNA from 1 species
GGGUUGUGAGGUUAAGCGACUAAGCGUACACGGUGGAUGCCCUGGCAGUCAGAGGCGAUGAAGGACGUGCUAAUCUGCGAAAAGCGUCGGUAAGGUGAUAUGAACCGUUAUAGCCGGCGAUGUCCGAAUGGGGAAACCCAGUGUGAUUCGUCACACUAUCGUUAACUGAAUACAUAGGUUAACGAGGCGAACCGGGGGAACUGAAACAUCUAAGUACCCCGAGGAAAAGAAAUCAACCGAGAUUCCCCCAGUAGCGGCGAGCGAACGGGGAGCAGCCCAGAGUCUGAAUCAGCUUGUGUGUUAGUGGAACGGUCUGGAAAGUCCGACGGUACAGGGUGAUAGUCCCGUACACCAAAAUGCACAGGCUGUGAACUCGAAGAGUAGGGCGGGACACGUGGUAUCCUGUCUGAAUAUGGGGGGACCAUCCUCCAAGGCUAAAUACUCCUGACUGACCGAUAGUGAACCAGUACCGUGAGGGAAAGGCGAAAAGAACCCCGGCGAGGGGAGUGAAAAAGAACCUGAAACCGUGUACGUACAAGCAGUGGGAGCACCUUCGGGUGUGACUGCGUACCUUUUGUAUAAUGGGUCAGCGACUUAUAUUCUGUAGCAAGGUUAACCGUAUAGGGGAGCCGCAGGGAAACCGAGUCUUAACUGGGCGUUAAGUUGCAGGGUAUAGACCCGAAACCCGGUGAUCUAGCCAUGGGCAGGUUGAAGGUUGGGUAACACUAACUGGAGGACCGAACCGACUAAUGUUGAAAAAUUAGCGGAUGACUUGUGGCUGGGGGUGAAAGGCCAAUCAAACCGGGAGAUAGCUGGUUCUCCCCGAAAGCUAUUUAGGUAGCGCCUCGUGAAUUCAUCUUCGGGGGUAGAGCACUGUUUCGGCUAGGGGGUCAUCCCGACUUACCAACCCGAUGCAAACUACGAAUACCGAAGAAUGUUAUCACGGGAGACACACGGCGGGUGCUAACGUCCGUCGUGAAGAGGGAAACAACCCAGACCGCCAGCUAAGGUCCCAAAGUCAUGGUUAAGUGGGAAACGAUGUGGGAAGGCACAGACAGCCAGGAUGUUGGCUUAGAAGCAGCCAUCAUUUAAAGAAAGCGUAAUAGCUCACUGGUCGAGUCGGCCUGCGCGGAAGAUGUAACGGGGCUAAACCAUGCACCGAAGCUGCGGCAGCGACACUAUGUGUUGUUGGGUAGGGGAGCGUUCUGUAAGCCUGCGAAGGUGUGCUGUGAGGCAUGCUGGAGGUAUCAGAAGUGCGAAUGCUGACAUAAGUAACGAUAAAGCGGGUGAAAAGCCCGCUCGCCGGAAGACCAAGGGUUCCUGUCCAACGUUAAUCGGGGCAGGGUGAGUCGACCCCUAAGGCGAGGCCGAAAGGCGUAGUCGAUGGGAAACAGGUUAAUAUUCCUGUACUUGGUGUUACUGCGAAGGGGGGACGGAGAAGGCUAUGUUAGCCGGGCGACGGUUGUCCCGGUUUAAGCAUGUAGGCUGGUUGUCCAGGCAAAUCCGGAUAAUCAAGGCUGAGGUGUGAUGACGAGGUACUACGGUGCUGAAGUAACAAAUGCCCUGCUUCCAGGAAAAGCCUCUAAGCAUCAGGUAACAUCAAAUCGUACCCCAAACCGACACAGGUGGUCAGGUAGAGAAUACCAAGGCGCUUGAGAGAACUCGGGUGAAGGAACUAGGCAAAAUGGUGCCGUAACUUCGGGAGAAGGCACGCUGGUGUGUAGGUGAAGUCCCUGCGGAUGGAGCUGAGACCAGUCGAAGAUACCAGCUGGCUGCAACUGUUUAUUAAAAACACAGCACUGUGCAAACACGAAAGUGGACGUAUACGGUGUGACGCCUGCCCGGUGCCGGAAGGUUAAUUGAUGGGGUUAUCCGUAAGGAGAAGCUCUUGAUCGAAGCCCCGGUAAACGGCGGCCGUAACUAUAACGGUCCUAAGGUAGCGAAAUUCCUUGUCGGGUAAGUUCCGACCUGCACGAAUGGCGUAAUGAUGGCCAGGCUGUCUCCACCCGAGACUCAGUGAAAUUGAACUCGCUGUGAAGAUGCAGUGUACCCGCGGCAAGACGGAAAGACCCCGUGAACCUUUACUAUAGCUUGACACUGAACAUUGAGCCUUGAUGUGUAGGAUAGGUGGGAGGCUUUGAAGCGUGGACGCCAGUCUGCGUGGAGCCAACCUUGAAAUACCACCCUUUAAUGUUUGAUGUUCUAACGUUGGCCCCUUACCGGGGUUGCGGACAGUGUCUGGUGGGUAGUUUGACUGGGGCGGUCUCCUCCCAAAGCGUAACGGAGGAGCACGAAGGUUAGCUAAUCCUGGUCGGACAUCAGGAGGUUAGUGCAAUGGCAUAAGCUAGCUUGACUGCGAGCGUGACGGCGCGAGCAGGUGCGAAAGCAGGUCAUAGUGAUCCGGUGGUUCUGAAUGGAAGGGCCAUCGCUCAACGGAUAAAAGGUACUCCGGGGAUAACAGGCUGAUACCGCCCAAGAGUUCAUAUCGACGGCGGUGUUUGGCACCUCGAUGUCGGCUCAUCACAUCCUGGGGCUGAAGUAGGUCCCAAGGGUAUGGCUGUUCGCCAUUUAAAGUGGUACGCGAGCUGGGUUUAGAACGUCGUGAGACAGUUCGGUCCCUAUCUGCCGUGGGCGCUGGAGAAUUGAGGGGGGCUGCUCCUAGUACGAGAGGACCGGAGUGGACGCAUCACUGGUGUUCGGGUUGUCAUGCCAAUGGCACUGCCCGGUAGCUAAAUGCGGAAGAGAUAAGUGCUGAAAGCAUCUAAGCACGAAACUUGCCCCGAGAUGAGUUCUCCCUGAGACUUUAAGUCUCCUGAAGGAACGUUAAAGACGAUGACGUUGAUAGGCCGGGUGUGUAAGCGCAGCGAUGCGUUGAGCUAACCGGUACUAAUGAACCGUGAGGCUUAACCUUACAACGCCGAAG